UACGUAGGGUGCAAGCGUUGUCCGGAAUUAUUGGGCGUAAAGAGCUCGUAGGCGGUCUGUCGCGUCGGAUGUGAAAAUCCAGGGCUCAACCCUGGACCUGCAUUCGAUACGGGCAGACUAGAGUUCGGCAGGGGAGACUGGAAUUCCUGGUGUAGCGGUGAAAUGCGCAGAUAUCAGGAAGAACACCCGUGGCGAAGGCGGUUCUCUGGGACGGUACUGACGCUGAGACGCGAAAGCGUGGGGGAGCGAACAGG
rnacentral:rRNA from 1 species